rnacentral:rRNA from 1 species
GAUGAACGCUGGCGGCGUGCCUAAUACAUGCCAGUCGAGCGAACGGACGAGAAGCUUGCUUUUCUGAUGUUAGCGGCGGACGGGUGAGUAACACGUGGAUAACCUACCUAUAAGACUGGGAUAACUUCGGGAAACCGGAGCUAAUACCGGAUAAUAUUUUGAACCGCAUGGUUCAAAAGUGAAAGACGGUCUUGCUGUCACUUAUAGAUGGAUCCGCGCUGCAUUAGCUGGUUGGUAAGGUAACGGCUUACCAAGGCAACGAUGCAUAGCCGACCUGAGAGGGUGAUCGGCCACACUGGAACUGAGACACGGUCCAGACUCCUACGGGAGGCAGCAGUAGGGAAUCUUCCGCAAUGGGCGAAAGCCUGACGGAGCAACGCCGCGUGAGUGAUGAAGGUCUUCGGAUCGUAAAACUCUGUUAUUAGGGAAGAACAUAUGUGUAAGUAACUGUGCACAUCUUGACGGUACCUAAUCAGAAAGCCACGGCUAACUACGUG